UAGGCAACAAAAAUAAAUUUCCAUUGGAGUUCAAAGAAGCAUAUAAAAUCUUUUUCUAUAUGCACUAGCAAAAAAAAAAAAAAAGUAACUACCAUAUAAUGAAAAUGAUCUUCUAGACUAGUGUUGAAUAAAAUACAAGACCAAAGGUACACAUUGCUGGCAAUCUACCACUUCAAGUGGCAGAGAUCCUGCAAGAAAAACUGAGGCCAGCAGAACUCCCCGACUUACAAGCCCUGAAUAACCUGAGAAAUAUUAGAUUCUGGUACUGGUGACUUUGCAACUGAGUGGCCACAAAACUAUGAGAGAAACUCAACCUCCUACAUUGCUUCUGCUACUGUCUCUUCAAUACAUCAUUACUGAAAAAAGAAGUUACAUCGGAAGUGAGAUUCUAGUCACCCACUGCCUGUGGCACACAUCAUUCACAAAUUUCAAUUGCAAGACAGUGUAUUCUUGGACUCUGGAAAAAGGUGUGACUGGGCUACAAUACUGUAAGACACAAAUGUGCCUGCACUUGACAUCAAUGAUGCUGACACCACUUGGGUGUUCCUGAUGGAUAGGUGGAGAUCAUCACAAGGCUGAUGUGUUCCAAAUUCAGCAGGCAUUGAUAAAAAGAGGUAGGAUAGCCAAUGGUGCACCAUAUUAAGUCAGCCAUGUUUUGUUCUUUUUCUAUCACAGGAAUUUAGGCAACUGACUAAACUU